GCCUGGGUGGCUCAGUCAGUUGAGCACCCGACUUCAGCUCAGGUCAUGAUCUCACAGUUCGUGGGUUUGAGUCCUAUGUCAGGCU
rnacentral:tRNA from 1 species